ensembl:piRNA 21ur-1573 ncRNA
UACUGUUUUAUUGAGUACUUU